GCCCCAUCUCUGUAGCUCAGUCAGUAGAGCAUGAGACUUUUAAUCUGAGGUUUGUGGGUUUGAGCCCCACAUUGGGCA